rnacentral:rRNA from 1 species
AACGAACGCUGGCGGCAUGCCUAACACAUGCAAGUCGAACGAACCCUUCGGGGUUAGUGGCGCACGGGUGCGUAACGCGUGGGAAUCUGCCCUUUGCUUCGGAAUAACUCAGGGAAACUUGUGCUAAUACCGGAUGAUGUCUUCGGACCAAAGAUUUAUCGGCAAGGGAUGAGCCCGCGUAGGAUUAGGUAGUUGGUGGGGUAAAGGCCUACCAAGCCGACGAUCCUUAGCUGGUCUGAGAGGAUGAUCAGCCACACUGGGACUGAGACACGGCCCAGACUCCUACGGGAGGCAGCAGUGGGGAAUAUUGGACAAUGGGCGCAAGCCUGAUCCAGCAAUGCCGCGUGAGUGAUGAAGGCCCUCGGGUCGUAAAGCUCUUUUACCAGGGAUGAUAAUGACAGGACCUGGAGAAUAAGCUCCGGCUAACUCCGU